GGCUUGAUGAUAAUAAUUUUAAGUCGAUCUGCCCAAUGAUUAAAAUUUAAUGGCUGCAGUAUAAUUGACUGUACAAAGGUAGCAUAAUCAAUUGUUUCUUAAUUAGAAUCUAGGAUGAAAGAAUUAAUGAGAUAUAUACUGUCUCAUAUAUAUUUAAUUAAAUUAAAAUUUUAGUAAAAAUGCUGAAAUAAAUUUAUGGGACGAUAAGACCCUAUAGAAUUUUAUAUUAAUAUUUAAAUUAAAUUUAUUUUUAGAUGUUAAUAUUUAAUUGGGAGGAUUAAUAAAUUUAAAUAACUUUAUUUUAAAUAAAAACUUUAAUUUAAGAAUUAUUAAUGAUCUUGUAUUAUAAAUUAUAAGAAAAAAUUACCUUAGGGAUAACAGCGUAAUAUCUUUUUAAAGAUCAAAUUGAUAAAGAUGAUUGCGACCUCGAUGUUGAAUUAAGAUAAAUUUUAAAUGGAGAAAUUUAAUAAUUAAGUCUGUUCGACUUUUAAAAUCUUACAUGAUUUGAGUUCAUAUCGACGUGAGU
rnacentral:rRNA from 1 species